AUUGAACGCUGGCGGCAUGCUUUACACAUGCAAGUCGAACGGCAGCACGGACUUCGGUCUGGUGGCGAGUGGCGAACGGGUGAGUAAUACAUCGGAACGUGCCCAAUCGUGGGGGAUAACGUAGCGAAAGCUACGCUAAUACCGCAUACGAUCUAAGGAUGAAAGCGGGGGAUCGCAAGACCUCGCGCGAAUGGAGCGGCCGAUGGCAGAUUAGGUAGUUGGUAGGGUAAAGGCCUACCAAGCCGACGAUCUGUAGCUGGUCUGAGAGGAUGAUCAACCACACUGGGACUGAGACACGGCCCAGACUCCUACGGGAGGCAGCAGUGGGGAAUUUUGGACAAUGGGCGAAAGCCUGAUCCAGCCAUGCCGCGUGCAGGAUGAAGGCCUUCGGGUUGUAAACUGCUUUUGUACGGAACGAAAAGACUCUGGUUAAUACCUGGGGUCCAUGACGGUACCGUAAGAAUAAGCACCGGCUAACUACGUGCCAGCCGCCGCCGUAACAC
rnacentral:rRNA from 1 species